rnacentral:rRNA from 1 species
CUACGGGAUGCUGCAGUUAGGAAUAUUCUACAAUGCGCGCAAGCGUGAUAGAUUGAGUCAGAGUGCGCUUCAAUUUGGAGUGCUUUUGUGAAAUCUAAAAAGUUUCACGAAUAAGGACUGGGUAAGACGAGUGCCAGCCGCCGCGGUAAUACUCGCGGUCCAAGUCGCAGCCAUUUUUAUUGGGUCUAAAACAUCCGUAGCUUGCUUCUUAAGUUCCUUGUGAAAUUUUGUAUCUCAAAUACAGAGCGUGCAAGGAGUACUGGGAAGCUAGAGACUGGGAGACGUAAGAAGUACGUUCAAAGUAGCGGUUAAAUGUGUUAAUCUUGAACGGACUAACAACAGCGAAGGCAUCUUACGAGAACAGUUCUGACAGUCAGGGAUGAAGGCUAGGGGCGCAAAACGGAUUAGAUACCCGGGUAGUC